rnacentral:rRNA from 1 species
CCAGACUCCUACGGGAGGCAGCAGUGGGGGAUAUUGCACAAUGGGGGGAACCCUGAUGCAGCGACGCCGCGUGGGUGAAGGAGUAUUUCGGUAUGUAAAGCCCUAUCGGCAGGGAAGAGGCAAGACGGUACCUGACUAAGAAGCCCCGGCUAACUACGUGCCAGCAGCCGCGGUAAUACGUAGGGGGCAAGCGUUAUCCGGAUUUACUGGGUGUAAAGGGGGCGCAGACGGCGAUGCAAGCCAGGAGGGAAAGCCCGGGGCCCAACCCCGGGACUGCUCUGGAAACUGUUCGGCUGGAGUGCAGGAGAGGUAAGUGGAAUUCCUAGUGGAGCGGUGAAAUGCGUAGAUAUUAGGAGGAACACCAGUGGCGAAGGCGGCUUACUGGACUGUAACUGACGUUGAGGCUCGAAAGCGUGGGGAGCAAACAGGAUUAGAUACCCUCGUACU